UAGGGAAUAUUGCGCAAUGGAGGAAACUCUGACGCAGCAAUGCCGCGUGGGUGAGGAAGGUCUUCGGAUUGUAAAACCCUGUUAGUAGGGACAAAUGUCCUUGUAGCUAAUAUCUAUAAGGAGUGAUGGUACCUGCAGAGAAAGCACCGGCUAACUUCGUGCCAGCAGCCGCGGUAAUACGAAGGGUGCAAGCGUUGCUCGGAAUUAUUGGGCGUAAAGGGUGCGUAGGCGGAAAGGUAAGUCAGGUGUGAAAUCUCGGGGCUCAACCCCGAAACUGCGCCUGAAACUGCUUUUCUUGAAUCCUGGGGAGGGAAGAGGAAUUUCACAUGUAGGGGUAAAAUCCGUAGAGAUGUGAAGGAACACCGGUAGCGAAAGCUUCUUCCUAAACAGUGAUUGACGC
rnacentral:rRNA from 1 species